rnacentral:tRNA from 1 species
CAAGAUAUAGUUUAAGUUAGAAUUUUAAUUUUGGAGAUUAAAGGUAUAAUUGUUAAUUAUUAUUUUGA